rnacentral:hammerhead_ribozyme from 1 species
AUCCAGCUGACGGGCCCCAAAUGGGACGAAACGCGCGUCCUGGAU